CUUAGCCUCUGCUGCAAUACACUCCUCCUUUUCUAUCUUUGCCUUCCUGAGGGUAGAAAAUAUGGUCACUUGCACCUAUAAUUAUAAUUUGCAUUCUGUACUUGUGCUAGUAAAUGAGCCCUCUUAUUUAGAUUACAAAGAAUGGUGGUAAAUUGAACAUUUUAUAUUUGGACCAGUGUCUUUAGAAGAGUACCGUGCUUGGCCUUUGCUUUUAAACUUGAUUAUUAAUUGCCUUGAAGUUGGCAUUGUAAGUACUGUCUUUUUUUUUAUGAACAUACAAAUUGCACAAAACUAGAACUAUUACAAUUAAACUAUGAAGGCAGACUAUUAAGGUUGGGGUUGUUUUCUCUUGAGAUGUGGGGUUAGUGAGUGGUAUGAUUACUCUUUAACAGUAUAUUAGCAGACAUAAUAGACAGAUAGCUGGGGAACUUUUUUUUAUAUAGAAAAGAACAUAAAACGAGGUAACCCCUUUAGAUAUUUUAGAUGACAAAAUAAUCAUAGGGAAAUAAGUUCCAUAUAUCUACUGAUGUAGCUUGUUGUUCCUUUUGCAGAUACUGCACAUUGUGACUUCUGAUUACAUCAAGCCAACAUCAAAACUGACAUCUUGAGGCAAUCUUGAUCACAAUGCCUAAAAAGGAUUAAUAGGCAUCUUGCCCUAGAAGAUCUUAUUAAUAAACACAUUAGCAACAAUAAGAUUCAUGAAAAGUCUUUAAUUUUCUAAUUGUUAGGGACUUGACAACAUUUCUGUGUACAAAUGAAUACAUACUGCUGAACCAUCAUGGUAAAGAUCAAAUUCUGAUCUACAGUUUUGUAAGUAAAGAUGUGCAGUGCAUAAUAGGAUUCCUUUAUUCACACUCUGUGCUUAAAAAAAGAACAAAUCCAUCAUCUUCAAAUUUGACUUGUAGCUUGACAUUAAAAAUAAUAUGAGUAGAAUUUUCAGUGGGCUAAGCAUAAAACUAGUUCAAGUUGUGUCACUCUCAAUUAAUGUAUAUAGGUGGUGUGCCCAUUAAAAUUCCCACCUGUGGGUUCAGCUCUCUAUGCAAAUGGGAUCAUUACCUGGAAACCUAAUUGGGAAUGACACUGGGAGUAUGAAAUUCUUCUCUCAAAACAAAUCUCUUGUAUACAUUUUACCACAUAUUUGAUUUUCAUACGUACACUACUUUGUUUCCCUUCACUGGAAAGAUAUUCCUUAAUUAACUAGUGGCAGAAACUAAACAACACAGAGCAUGGCCUUGCUCAAUUCGACUUUAUGCAAAAGAUUUGCCAUCCACCAUUUUAUUAAAUCUGUUAACCUACCAAUUUAUCUCAGUCCAUAGGCAACAUAAUGUUAUAAAUCAAUGAACACUGACUGGUGCAAUACACGUAAAUAUAUACCAAAUACAAGUAUGGGACCUGUUAUCCAGAAUGCUAUCUUAGUUAAGUCAAAUACAAGGUACUGUUUUUUUUUUUUUUAUCAACUGUUUUUAUUUAUUUUUCAAAGAACAAAACAAAAUCAAAUAAAGCAAGAAAAUAAUCUGAUAGGAAUUUGGAGGAGCACAGAAAAAGUACAUGCAACCAAUAUAGACUGUGAGCAAGACAUUCACACAUCUCUAUCAAAAUCAGCAAACAACAGACGUGAGACAUGAAAGCCCAUACCCGAAAUGUCUUUCAUAUCGCCUACACAUUAUUUAUAGAUAGCAGUCUAUUAAUGUGGUGACUCCUGGGGGGUGAUUGGCGACUCUGUGUCUGUGAGCUAUGGAGAUUCCGUAUAUAGUGAUCCGUCUCUUGUACUACAUUAUUACUGUAUAACAAUUCAGUAUCAAACCACGUGGUAUUCCGAAAUGUGUAGAUCGUUAAAUGUUUAAUAUGGGUGGGGAGUGAGGAUAUAUAUGUCAUCCAGGUGGAAAAAAAAGCUUCUGUGUAUUUCUCUUUAUGUGUGGUAGUUUCCAACCAGUCCAUGUGGAAGAUAUAGUGAAAUUUUUGUUUAACUAGCGAAAGUGGAGGUACUGAAGGGGAAAGCCAAUGGUGGAGAAUAGUUUUCCUAGAUGCUGCCAUUAGUCUUUCCGCUAAGCGACGCUCAGGCUGUGACAGCUGUAACUGUGGAGGGGGAAUCCCAAAAAGCACCCAUAAUAAAUUAAAGGGAGUUAAGUGGUGCGUCAAAGAUCUCCAGUACCCCUGUACAUUUUCCCAAAAUUCCUGUAUGACGGGACAUAGCCAAAUGCAGUGUACUAGAUCAGCUCGAGGCUGACGACAUCUGAGGCAGUUGUCAUUGUCUAGAACACCCAUACGAAAGCGUUGUAGCGGAGUAAGAUAGGAAUGAUGUAAAAGCUGUAAUGACAUUUCUUGGUAUUUACUCGGGGACAAUACCCGCAUAGUUUUAGCAUGAUAUUGAAGUAUUUGAGUUGUAUCCAGUUGCGGAAGCGCUGAGGUCCAUUUAGAUAAAAAGGUAUCUGUCGAUUCCACUGGUAUAGUGGUGCGAAUCAUCCGAUAGAUUUGGGAUGUAGUUCCGAGGGAGUCAUUCUUUGGCCAUAAGGAAUUUAAUGGGUUUUCCCUAUCCGCCUGAGAUAGAUGUUUAAGAACUGUCAUAGCGAAAUGGAUAAUUUGAAUGGAAAGCAAAUAAUCGUCGGAAAGAAAGGGGAAUUUUUGAAUAAGUGUAUAAUGUGGUAGGAUAGUAAAAGUCUCACCAAUGACAUCCUUUACCAAUCUCAGAUUUUGCUAUAUGGCAACAUCUGUAUUUUAUAGAGAAUUUUUGGGAAUAGAAUCAUUUUUAUUAAGUGAAUUCUGCCGAGAAAGUUAAUGUUUGUUAUCCCAAGAUUUUAACUCUUGCUGGAUGUAAUCUAUAGUGUAUCGAAUAUUGAUCGGAUAUAAAUCAGUAUGCUUUUUUGGUAAUUUAAUUCCCAGAUAUGUAAUAUAAGAGUCCGCUAUUUUAAAAGGGAAGUUAUGAGUUCUGUUUGUUAUGCCAGGGUCCCCAAGAUCUAGUGCCUCUGAUUUAUUUAGAUUAAUCUUAAAUCCUGCACAGGUGCUGAAAGAUUCUAUUGUUUCCAGAAUUGUAGGCAAUUCCGCAUGGGGGUCAUUAAUAAAUAGUAAGAUGUCGUCAGCAAAAGCUGCUAUUUUAUAACCGGUGUGGCCUAAUGGAAUCCCCGUGAAUGUCUCAUUUCGUAGCAGAUGUUUUAUUAGGGGAUCUAAUGCGAUAUUAAACAGUAGAGGGGAUAAAGGACAGCCCUGUCUAGUUCCCUGUUGAAUUUCGAACGUUUCCGAAUUGUAGCCAUUAACUGUGAGAAAAGUUUGGGGAGAGUCAUAUAAUGCUUUGAAUAAAUUUAACAUAUGGAGUCCGAAAUGUUGAAACUUUAAAAGUCUCCUAAUAUGUAUGUGAGCAAUCCUAUCAAAAGCCUUAUCUGCAUCCAGAUUAAUUAACAGUCCUCGAUGUCUUUUUUCUAGAUUACAGUGGAAGAUAGCAGCGAUUGCUUUCCUAAUGGCUUGGACUGGAUAUCUAUUUUGGAGAAAACCCAUUUGGUUAGAGGUGCAUCUAGGAUUUCCCUAUCCUGGACAGAAAGCUUAUUCAAAUGAGCGUCUUGGAGAAACUUAAGGCCAGCCUCCGGGAAAUCAAGAGUCCGCUGAUAAAGCUCUCUAAAAUGGGACGUCAUCAUCUGUGUGAUAUCUUGUGUAGUGCGAGCCCAACCGGUAGGGGUUCGGAGUUUCUGAAUAAAAGUAUUGGACUGUUGCCGUUUGACCAAAUUUGCUAACAAUUUCCCAGAUUUGUUUCCCCAUCGAUAGUAUCUAUUUGCAGUGUGACUUAAUUUGUGUUGCAUUUGUUCAGUCAAUAAAGUGUUAAAUAGA